rnacentral:tRNA from 6 species
GCGCGAGUGGUGAAAUUGGCAGACACGCAGGAUUUAGGUUCCUGUGCCUUCGGGCGUGGGGGUUCAAGUCCCCCCUUGCGCACUA